CAGUGCAGUCACCCAUAAAGUAGAAAGCACUACUAACAGCACUGGAGGGUGUAGUGUUUCCUACUUUAUGGAUGAGUGUACUGU
rfam:Loxodonta africana unplaced genomic scaffold scaffold_31, whole genome shotgun sequence.